UUGAGAACUCUGAUGUGCAAAGUCCUCAGUCUAUCUGCAGAACAGGUACAGCCCAGGCAGCAGCAGUGUAAACUUCCUCACAGUGCUCUGCCGAUGUGCCUCAAACCUGACCUGGAGGCAUCAUCUCUAGGAUUCAGAGAGUAACUCAGUCUUCCCGUACAUUUAAUCCUGCUGAGACU
ensembl:misc_RNA